rnacentral:tRNA from 1 species
GGAGAGAUGGCUGAGUGGCCGAAAGCGCCGGAUUGCUAAUCCGGUAGGCGGGCAACCGUCUCACGGGUUCGAAUCCCGUUCUCUCCG